UUAUAUUGGUGUAAUUGAUGAAGGGUAGUGAGAACUCCUUAAUCCUCCUCUAGGUUUUCUCCUAUUUUGUCAUUGUUGAUUAUGUGUGAAUUAUUGAUUAUGAAUACAUGUAUAUUCUAUUAUGAUUGAUAUUGUUGUGUGAAAUUCAUAUACUGAUUUCAUGUUAAUUUCAUGUGAAACUAUAUGAUUAAAUUCUGAAAUUUGGUGUUCUUAUGAGUUGGGUUGCAAUUGUUGAAGGGGGUGAUGAUUUUGAAUCAAAUUGAGGUAAUAUAUGUUAA
rnacentral:lncRNA from 1 species